AUCGAUGCCAAUGUAUGGUAUCCCGAUUGAGAAUGAAGAAGGUACGAUUAGAGUUUACGAUGAGAUUGAAUUAGUGAGAGGAGAUACUGUGACAGAGGCUGUGAGGUGUUGGAGUGCGCCGUGUUCUAAUAUUGAUCAAAGCGAAAAGGAUGCUGCAUGACGGUGUGGCGAAGAUUUGUAUGAACGAUUUUCCAUAGACCAUGGCGUGGUUAAGAAAAAAUAAAAGUGGUUGAAAAAUGACUAUAGUCUUCUUUGGAGGUACUACAGCGAUCUCUUAGCUGAGAAGGAACGUUAUGUUACUAAGCGGGGUGGUCUAAAAAAAUUAAUUGUUGAGUGUGGUGAUAUGCUUGAGCGCCCAAAUGCUGCUGCACUGGAUCAGAAUA
rnacentral:lncRNA from 1 species